GAUGAACGCUGGCGGCGUGCCUAAUACAUGCAAGUCGAGCGAACGGACGAGAAGCUUGCUUCUCUGAUGUUAGCGGCGGACGGGUGAGUAACACGUGGAUAACCUACCUAUAAGACUGGGAUAACUUCGGGAAACCGGAGCUAAUACCGGAUAAUAUUUUGAACCGCAUGGUUCAAAAGUGAAAGACGGUCUUGCUGUCACUUAUAGAUGGAUCCGCGCUGCAUUAGCUAGUUGGUAAGGUAACGGCUUACCAAGGCAACGAUGCAUAGCCGACCUGAGAGGGUGAUCGGCCACACUGGAACUGAGACACGGUCCAGACUCCUACGGGAGGCAGCAGUAGGGAAUCUUCCGCAAUGGGCGAAAGCCUGACGGAGCAACGCCGCGUGAGUGAUGAAGGUCUUCGGAUCGUAAAACUCUGUUAUUAGGGAAGAACAUAUGUGUAAGUAACUGUGCACAUCUUGGCGGUACCUAACCAGAAAGCCACGGCUAACUACGUGCCAGCAGCCGCGGUAAUACGUAGGUGGCAAGCGUUAUCCGGAAUUAUUGGGCGUAAAGCGCGCGUAGGCGGUUUUUUAAGUCUGAUGUGAAAGCCCACGGCUCAACCGUGGAGGGUCAUUGGAAACUGGAAAACUUGAGUGCAGAAGAGGAAAGUGGAAUUCCAUGUGUAGCGGUGAAAUGCGCAGAGAUAUGGAGGAACACCAGUGGCGAAGGCGACUUUCUGGUCUGUAACUGACGCUGAUGUGCGAAAGCGUGGGGAUCAAACAGGAUUAGAUACCCUGGUAGUCCACGCCGUAAACGAUGAGUGCUAAGUGUUAGGGGGUUUCCGCCCCUUAGUGCUGCAGCUAACGCAUUAAGCACUCCGCCUGGGGAGUACGACCGCAAGGUUGAAACUCAAAGGAAUUGACGGGGACCCGCACAAGCGGUGGAGCAUGUGGUUUAAUUCGAAGCAACGCGAAGAACCUUACCAAAUCUUGACAUCCUUUGACAACUCUAGAGAUAGAGCCUUCCCCUUCGGGGGACAAAGUGACAGGUGGUGCAUGGUUGUCGUCAGCUCGUGUCGUGAGAUGUUGGGUUAAGUCCCGCAACGAGCGCAACCCUUAAGCUUAGUUGCCAUCAUUAAGUUGGGCACUCUAAGUUGACUGCCGGUGACAAACCGGAGGAAGGUGGGGAUGACGUCAAAUCAUCAUGCCCCUUAUGAUUUGGGCUACACACGUGCUACAAUGGACAAUACAAAGGGCAGCGAAACCGCGAGGUCAAGCAAAUCCCAUAAAGUUGUUCUCAGUUCGGAUUGUAGUCUGCAACUCGACUACAUGAAGCUGGAAUCGCUAGUAAUCGUAGAUCAGCAUGCUACGGUGAAUACGUUCCCGGGUCU
rnacentral:rRNA from 1 species